CCUACGGGGCGCAGCAGUGGGGGAUAUUGCACAAUGGGGGAAACCCUGAUGCAGCGACGCCGCGUGGGCGAAGAAGUAUUUCGGUAUGUAAAGCCCUAUCAGCAGGGAAGAAGAAAUGACGGUACCUGAGUAAGAAGCACCGGCUAAAUACGUGCCAGCAGCCGCGGUAAUACGUAUGGUGCAAGCGUUAUCCGGAUUUACUGGGUGUAAAGGGAGCGCAGGCGGCACGGCAAGCCUGAUGUGAAAGCCCAAGGCUCAACCAUGGGACUGCUUUUGAAACUGUCAAACUAGAGUACGGGAGAGGU
rnacentral:rRNA from 1 species